CCUCCCCUCUUUGCUCCCAUCUGCUCUUUUGUGACUCGAUCGAAUGGCUCGAAUUCUUUCUUUCCCAGCCCUAUUCCAGUCUCCGCGCCGCCUCCUCCCCGCCGCCCUCCGCCUCUCCCUCCGCCACCGCUCCAGCCGCACGGUGUUCCUGGAGGAUACCGUGGUCGACGCCGAGGAUUCCGGAUCGGAAUCGAGCUCGGGAUCUGGAUCCGAUUCUGGCGAACGCGAUGCCCGCUUGAUGCCCCCCGUUGACGACGCCAUCCAAAGCAUGGUCGCCCAGCACUACGCCCCCGAUUGGCUCCCUUUCGUCCCCGGCGCCUCCUACUGGGCCCCGCCCCAGAAUCACCCCUUCGUCCUCGUGGAGGUCGUCACCGGGCUCGAGGAUUUCAAUCUCUCGCAUCCGCUCUCCUCGGAUUAGAUGAUAUCGUUUAGCAACGAGCGUGGUUGGCUCUCAUCGGCCGAAGGUUCUGUCUCCACAACAAAUGAAGGCUCCCGAGGCACAAUCUGAUGAAGAAGACAGCUGACUGCACGCACGAAAAUUAGGACGGGUGAGAGCUGGUUUUAGUGGACCGAAAGUUCACGCUUUACAUGUAAUUUGACCAUAGAGUCAAACGUUUGUUUGUACGAAGAAUCAUGUAUCUAUCGACUAUAUCAUGAGUUCAGGAAGUAUUUGAUUUAGUGAGUAUGAUGAUAUUAUAUAGGAAAUUGUUGAAAUGAUGAUGCUUGAAUAUCUCGUCUUUGUUU